GAUAGUGGCGAACGGGUGAGUAACACGUGGGCAAUCUGCCCUUCACUCUGGGACAAGCCCUGGAAACGGGGUCUAAUACCGGAUAACACUCUGUCCCGCAUGGGACGGGGUUAAAAGCUCCGGCGGUGAAGGAUGAGCCCGCGGCCUAUCAGCUUGUUGGUGGGGUAAUGGCCUACCAAGGCGACGACGGGUAGCCGGCCUGAGAGGGCGACCGGCCACACUGGGACUGAGACACGGCCCAGACUCCUACGGGAGGCAGCAGUGGGGAAUAUUGCACAAUGGGCGAAAGCCUGAUGCAGCGACGCCGCGUGAGGGAUGACGGCCUUCGGGUUGUAAACCUCUUUCAGCAGGGAAGAAGCGAAAGUGACGGUACCUGCAGAAGAAGCGCCGGCUAACUACGUGCCAGCAGCCGCGGUAAUACGUAGGGCGCAAGCGUUGUCCGGAAUUAUUGGGCGUAAAGAGCUCGUAGGCGGCUUGUCACGUCGGAUGUGAAAGCCCGGGGCUUAACCCCGGGUCUGCAUUCGAUACGGGCUAGCUAGAGUGUGGUAGGGGAGAUCGGAAUUCCUGGUGUAGCGGUGAAAUGCGCAGAUAUCAGGAGGAACACCGGUGGCGAAGGCGGAUCUCUGGGCCAUUACUGACGCUGAGGAGCGAAAGCGUGGGGAGCGAACAGGAUUAGAUACCCUGGUAGUCCACGCCGUAAACGUUGGGAACUAGGUGUUGGCGACAUUCCACGUCGUCGGUGCCGCAGCUAACGCAUUAAGUUCC
rnacentral:rRNA from 1 species